UGCCAGCAGCCGCGGUAAUACAUAGGGGUCACGCGUUGUCCGGAUUUAUUGGGCGUAAAGAGCUCGUAGGCGGUUCAACAAGUCGGUCGUAAAAGUUUAGGGCUCAACCCUAAAAUGUCGAUCGAUACUGUUGUGACUAGGAUACGGUAGAGGGGGGUAGAAUUUCAGGUGUAGCGGUGAAAUGCGUAGAGAUCUGAAGGAAUACCAGUGGCGAAGGCGGCCCCCUGGACAGACACUGACACUCAGAUGCGAAAGCGUGGGGAGCAAACAGGAUUAGAUA
rnacentral:rRNA from 1 species